UCCGGCUUCUCGCCGGCAGUCUCUCCUGAGUCCCCGGCAUUAUCCGCUGGCAACAGGAAACGUGGGUUGCGCUCGUUGCGGGACUUAACCCAACACCUCACGGCACGAGCUGACGACAGCCAUGCAGCACCUGUACUGGUUCCCGAUUCAACGGGUCGUUCCCCUUUCGGGGUCCUACUUCCAGCAUGUCAAGCCCUGGUAAGGUUCUUCGCUUUGCAUCGAAUUGAGCCACGCGCUCCGCCGCUUGUGCGGGCCCCCGUCAAUUCCUUUGAGUUUCAGCCUUGCGGCCGUACUCCCCAGGCGGGGCACUUACUGCGUUAGCGACGGCACCGAGGGGGUCGCUCCCCCCGACGCCUAGUGCCCAUCGUUUACGGCGUGGACUAC
rnacentral:misc_RNA from 1 species